AGUGAACGCUGGCGGUAGGCCUAACACAUGCAAGUCGAACGGCAGCACAGUAAGAGCUUGCUCUUACGGGUGGCGAGUGGCGGACGGGUGCGGAAUACAUCGGAAUCUACUUUUUCGUGGGGGAUAACGUAGGGAAACUUACGCUAAUACCGCAUACGACCUCCGGGUGAAAGCAGGGGAUCUUCGGACCUUGCGCGAUUGAAUGAGCCGAGGUCGGAUUAGCUAGUUGGCGGGGUGAAGGCCCACCAAGGCGACGAUCGGUAGCUGGUCUGAGAGGAUGAUCCGACACACGGGAACUGAGACUCGUCCCAGACUCCUACGGGAGGCAGCAGUGGGGAAUAUUGGACAAUGGGGGCAAGCCUGAUCCAGGCAUACCGCGGGGGUGAAGAAGGCGUUCGGGUUGUAAAGUCCUUUUGUUCUGAAAGAAAAGCAGCAGUUUUAUACCCCGCUGUUCUGACGGUACCCAAAGAAUAAGCACCGGCUAACUUCGUG
rnacentral:rRNA from 1 species